AUUGAACGCUGGCGGCAUGCUUUACACAUGCAAGUCGAGCGGCAGCGCGGGGGCAACCCUGGCGGCGAGCGGCGAACGGGUGAGUAAUGCAUCGGAACGUAUCCUCGAGUGGGGGAUAACCCAGCGAAAGUUGGGCUAAUACCGCAUGAGCUCUGAGGAGGAAAGCGGGGGACCUGCGAGGGCCUCGCGCUGGAGGAGCGGCCGAUGUCCGAUUAGCUAGUUGGUGGGAUAAAGGCUUACCAAGGCGACGAUCGGUAGCUGGUCUGAGAGGAUGAUCAGCCACACUGGGACUGAGACACGGCCCAGACUCCUACGGGAGGCAGCAGUGGGGAAUUUUGGACAAUGGGGGCAACCCUGAUCCAGCCAUGCCGCGUGAGUGAAGAAGGCCUUCGGGUUGUAAAGCUCUUUCGGACGGAACGAAAUGGGCGGGACUAAUACUCCUGUCUGAUGACGGUACCGUAAGAAGAAGCACCGGCUAACUACGUG
rnacentral:rRNA from 1 species